UAGGAUCUCAGUGUCACUGAUGUCAGCAACUAAUUCCAUCUUCUGGUGGUGAGUUAGGCUAGGUCCAUUGCUCAUGUACAGUCUGUUAACAGCUGGGAGGGAAGUAGCUGAUGUCCCCAUGAGUGAUUUAUAGAAAUCCUUGAUCUCCUUCUUCAGGUCAUCUGGAUCAGUAAUCUUCAAACCCCCAUCUGUGAUCAGUUAAGUAAUCUUCUUAUAUUGGUUUCUCUCCUUCAUUACAGCAGAAAAAUAUUUGUUAUUUGAGUCCCCAAGUUGAAUUCAUCUGGCUCUAGAUUUUUGUUGUAAUACUGACACUUCAAUCAAUGACCAUUUUUCUAAUUGCAGCAUCAGCUCUUUUUCUCUAAGCUGUAAG
rnacentral:lncRNA from 1 species